GAUGAACGCUAGCGGGAGGCCUAACACAUGCAAGCCGAGGGGUAUGAUUCUUUCGUGGCUCGGAGACCGGCGCACGGGUGCGUAACGCGUAUGUAACGUACCCCAUUCACUGGGAUAGCCCUUCGAAAGGAGGAUUAAUACCGGUUAACACUAAUGUGGUCAUCCACUUGGGUUGAAAGAUUUAUCGGAAUGUGAUAGACCUGCGUCAGAUUAGCUAGUUGGAGAGGUAACGGCUCACCAAGGCGAUGAUCUGUAGGGGGGCUGAGAGGGUGCCCCCCCACACUGGUACUGAGACCCGGACCAGAAUGCUACGGGAGGCAGCGGUGCGGAAUAUUGGACAAUGGGUGAGAGCGUGAUCCAGCCAUCCCACGUGCAAGAAGACGGCCCUAUGGGUUGUAAACUGCUUUUGUAUGGGAAUAAACCACCUUACGCGUCGGGUGUUGAAGGUACCAUACGAAUAAGCACCGGCUAACUCCGUG
rnacentral:rRNA from 1 species